AGCGAACGCUGGCGGCAGGCCUAACACAUGCAGGUCGAACGGAUCCUUCGGGAUUAGUGGCGGACGGGUGAGUAACACGUGGGAACGUGCCCUUUGGUUCGGAACAACUCAGGGAAACUUGAGCUAAUACCGGAUGUGCCCUUCGGGGGAAAGAUUUAUCGCCAUUGGAGCGGCCCGCGUCUGAUUAGCUAGUUGGUGAGGUAACGGCCCACCAAGGCGACGAUCAGUAGCUGGUCUGAGAGGAGGAUCAGCCACACUGGGACUGAGACACGGCCCAGACUCCUACGGGAGGCAGCAGUGGGGAAUCUUGCGCAAUGGGCGAAAGCCUGACGCAGCCAUGCCGCGUGAAUGAUGAAGGUCUUAGGAUUGUAAAAUUCUUUCAGCGGGGACGAUAAUGACGGUACCCGCAGAAGAAGCUCCGGCUAACUUCGUG
rnacentral:rRNA from 1 species